UAACUCCGUAUAAAAUUCACAUAGUCAAAUCAUAAUGAGGACUUUAAUGAUGUGGAGACGAUAGGGUGAUUCAUCAUUCUUCCAAUCCUCUAUUCAAUUUUCUUGUUCUGAUUGUGACUUCAGUGAGGUGUCUGGCUCUCAAUUGAAGAAAUUGAGAUAGCAUCAACUGUGUUGACUGUUGACAUGGCCUAAGCGCUUUGACAUAAUCAUGGGAAUCUCCAGAGGGCUGCUAUAUCUUCAUCAAGACUCCAGACUAAAGAUUAUCCAUCGGGAUCUAAAGACGAGCAAUAUUCUACUAGAUGGAGAUUUGAAUCCGAAGAUCUCAGACUUUGGAUUAGCAAGAAUUUUUGGAGAGGACCAAUGCAAUGCUAAAACAAAACGAGUUGUUGGAACCUAUGGCUAUAUGGCUCCAGAAUACGCUUUUGAUGGGAACUAUUCAGUGAUUCUGACGUCUUUGCGUUGGGAGUAAUAUUGUUAGAGAUUGUGAGUGGAAAGAAGAACAAAGGCUGCGACCACUAUUAUAGCCUUUUGGGACAUGCAUGGAUGCUGUGGAAAGAAGGCAACAAAUCUGGAGCUAAUGGAUGAAUGUUUGAGCAAUACAUUGAUUGAAUCUCAAGUGAAAAGAUGCAUACACGUCGGGUUAUUAUGUGUUCAAAAAUAUGCGGAAUAUGGGCCAGUCAUGUCAUCAAUAGUUUCCAUGUUAGGAAGUGAUGGAGCAAUUCUACCCGAUCCUAAGGAACCUGGAUUUUUUGGCAAAAGGAGUCCGUGCUGCAGAACAGUUUCAUGCCAGGAAACAUUCACCAUCACUGAGUUAGAAGCCAGAUGAGGAGAAUAUAGUUAUUGCUAUAAAUUCAAUUGAUAUUAGAAGUGAGGAUAUCUUGUAACUAAGAUGGUAGAU